rnacentral:rRNA from 1 species
CAGUAGCCGCGGUAAAACGGAGGGGGCUAGCGUUGUUCGGAAUUACUGGGCGUAAAGCGCACGUAGGCGGCUUUGUAAGUCAGAGGUGAAAGCCCGGGGCUCAACCCCGGAAUUGCCUUUGAGACUGCAUCGCUUGAAUCCAGGAGAGGUGAGUGGAAUUCCGAGUGUAGAGGUGAAAUUCGUAGAUAUUCGGAAGAACACCAGUGGCGAAGGCGGCUCACUGGACUGGUAUUGACGCUGAGGUGCGAAAGCGUGGGGAGCAAACAGGAUUAGAUACCCCAGUAGUCCCUGUCUCUUAUAC